UUUUCGUUUCCUGGGUCU
rnacentral:tRNA from 1 species